GACUGGGUUUAUCUAGACACAUGCUGAUCUCUUGAUGAAAAGACUGAAUGCACAUAUGAACCCUGGAAUGAAAUUAUGUCCAAGAUGAAGGCCUCGAUUUGGUCAGAAGAAGCCUCAAGAAGGUCUCACCUUGGAUUAGAGCGGCCUUGUUGUAGGACUCUAGCUUGACUGGAGAGGCCUCUGCACAGGCCUUGGUCAUGGCUGCAGAAGCAUAGGCCUCACGUUGGACUUGCAGGGCCUUGUUGAAUUCUUCAAGGGUGAAAGGAGGAGUGGUUGUUGAGGAUCUCGUGCUGGACAGGAGAGGCUCCACCAGGCUUGGUCAUGGGUGGAACCUCUGUCCACACACUGGCUGUUUGGGCUUGUUCAUCCAGAAACGAUUUGCCUGAGUGACCUGGACUGAUUUACCUGGCCUCUCUCCAACAUGGAAAUGCACUCCAAGCUCUAAACACGAUACAAAACUGCGCCGGGCUCCACACGCUGUCUGUGCCGUAUGUUCUCUCAUCGUGGAUGAACACAGUUUUGGAAGCUCCGGCAUCGUCUGCGUUCUGGAUCAACUCCUGUGAAACAACACAGAGGAUGAGACUCACUUAUUCAUAUACAGUACAUCUGUUUAUAUUCUGGAAAAAAAAAAGAAGGUUAUAGACAGUUACGAAGGAAUAUGAAAUGUAAAGGAAUGAAAGAUGAAGGAUUCUUAAUAAGUACACCACAUUGUAGGUUAUGAGGGGUUAUAAAGGAUUACAAAUGAAGUAUGAAUGAUGGAAUCAUUAUGGUGACAAUACAGAGGAUUAUGACAAUAAAGGAGUAUGACAUUAUGAACGACUAGUAAAGCAUUGUAGAAGAUGUAUAAAAUAAUAAAAGAAUAUGAAUUAUCGUGAAGUCAUUAUGAAGAAUAAUUAUAAGGUAAUUAUAAAUGCAUUAUGAAGUUUUAUGGAGUAAUUAUUAAAUGCUAUAAAAUGCAAAUAGAUAGAUAAAUAGAUAGAUAGAGUACUUUAUUGAAUUCUGAGGGAAAUCUUUUAAUUAUGAAUUAAUAAAAAACAUAUAAUAAUUAAUUAUUCAUUAAAAUAUUAGAAUUUAUUUAAAGAGGUUAUAAAUUGAUCAAAUUAACAUAGGCGUUUUAGAGAGUUAUAAAGCAGAUCAUUAUAAAGAAUUAUGAUGAAAUUAGGAAGGGUUGUGAGGAAUUUUGUUAUGAAGAAAUUAAAAGGGAUCGUGGAGUUAUAAAGAAAUAUAAAAGGCAAAGGGAAUAUUGAAAUUAUACAACAUUGUAAAGGUUAUUAAGUGAUUAUGAAGGGGUUCUGAAGGCAUUAUUAAGAAAUAGAAGGGAUAUGAAGGAUAAUGGAGGAAUUGUUUUUGUAGUUUUUGUAAAUAGUCGUUAAGUCGUUAUAAACAAUUACAAGAGGGAUACAAAGUAAAUCUAAAGGAGUUAUUAUGAAAUAUUAAUGCAGGGUUGUAAAUGGACUAUAAAGUAAUUAUGGACUAUAUUUGGGUUAGGAAGCAUUGAGAAAUGUGUAUGAGAGAUUAUAGAGGAUUAUAAGGGGCAUUUAAUGUAGUCAUUAUGAAGAAUCAUACAGGACAUGAAUUAACAUCAUGGGCAUAACAUCAGUACACAAAAUGCUCUGUUUUACUUUAAAUACCUGAAUAAUCAGUCAGCGUUUGUGUGUGUGUGUGUGUGUGUGUGUGUGUGUGUGUGUGUGUGCAUAUUUUGUGAUGUGACCAAUUAAUAAACAUGUAUAACCAUAAAGUCCAUUCUCACCUUCAGUAUCUGUCCUCCAUCAGGGUAACGUCUGAGAAUCUCCUUCAAGUAGUCGAUAAACGGUGGCGCUGUGGCCCCAAAUGCAUUUCUUCACAGAAGAACAUUAAAAUUAAUUUGUUUAGUUUUGGUCUAAGAUUCACUAAAAUUAACAUCAGGAGAGGAAAACAAAGCAAAACAAAACAAAAACACUGACUACACACUACACCACUGUGGGGAACUGAAGUACAUCCAUAAACAUGCUAAAUAAAAGGGUCUGGUAUCCAGGAAUACGUUUUCAUGUAAUGCCAUGUAACUUAUACUACUGAAAUGACAAUAAUGUAUUGUCUAAAAUAUGGUAAUACUGGUAGUUUUGAGAAUAGUAUGGGGAGAUGUAAUCGGGUGUUAAUAUAGAAGUAGAGCAUUGAAUGAGCCUAUUCCAGGGAAUUCGGGGCUCAAGGCAGGGGACACGCUGGACGGGGUGACAAUCAAUAGCAGGGAACAGUCGCACAAACACAUUCACACAGCCAUUUUAGUGUUUGCACUACGGACAGUUUGGAAAUGCCAAUCGACCUGCAAGGCAUGUCUUUGGACUGGGGGAUACUCCAAACCCCGGAGGUGCGAGGCAAAUGUACUAACCACUAAGCCUCCAUGCCCCCAGAUUUCUUUAUAUAUUUCUUAAUUAUACCUAAAAACGGCUCCUUCCUUACUCUAUAAGGCUUACGAAUUACUUUUUAGAAUCAGAAACAGAAUCAGAAUCAGACUUUAAUGGCCAAGUAUGCUUACACAUACAAGGAAAUUCCUCUUUGGUCACACAAUAGGUUUUAAGGAAAAGGGGUGGGGCCAAGCAGCUUUUAAUCUCACUGGAGGCGGAGCCUAUUUCUGGGCUGGGUAAAUGUAAGCAGAAGCAUAAAAUGAAGAAACUAGAGAGACGCAAAGACAAAUCUGAAUCUAAGCCAUUUUUUUCCCUAAAGUCUCUUUGAAUUAUACGAUUAUUACGGUCUAGAACGGUCUUAAAUAUGACAAACGACAUCCUUAACAUCACACACAGAUAUCAAUCCAGUGAAAUAGGAUCUGUCUGAGCGUAAUAUGAACCAACAUCAGUAUGGCGUGAUAUCCGCUAUGCAGUUCGUAUCUGUAACUAGUAGGGCUGCGCAAUUAAUCGAAUAUCGACCGCGAUUACGAUUUUGACUGCCCACGAUUAAAUGAACAUGAUCGACUGCGAUAUUAACUUUUAAAGUUCGUCCUCCGCUGCAGAUCAAAUCAGCGCUUCCUACACUUACAGCCAAUCACCAUAGAGCGGCGCAGGGAUGACGUCAUUUUGUAGUGCCAAAACCCCAAAACGGAGUUAGCAUUUUAGCCCUCGAGCUUCCA